rnacentral:rRNA from 1 species
AACAAACACUGGCGGCGUGCCUAACACAUGCAAGUCGUACGAGAAAGGGUCCUUCGGGGCCUGAGUAAAGUGGCGCACGGGUGAGUAACGCGUGGAUAAUCUGCCCUUCAGUUGGGAAUAACUCAUCGAAAGGUGGGCUAAUACCGAAUAAUGCUGUGAGACCUCGGUUGAUCAGCCAAAGAGAGCCUCUGCUUGCAAGCCCUCGCUGAAGGAUGAGUCCGCGUACCAUUAGCUAGUUGGUAGGGUAAUGGCCUACCAAGGCGACGAUGGUUAGCUGGUAUGAGGGGAUGAUCAGCCACACUGGAACUGAGACACGGUCCAGACUCCUACGGGAGGCAGCAGUGAGGAAUCUUGCGCAAUGGGGGCAACCCUGACGCAGCAACGCCGCGUGAGUGAGGAAGGUCUUCGGAUCGUAAAGCUCUGUCGGAUGGAAAGAACCGCAUAGGGGUAAACAGCCCCUGUGUCUGACGGUACCAUCAAAGGAAGCACCGGCUAACUCCGUGCCAGCAGCCGCCGCAGUAA